UGGGAAGUAUAGUGAGACCUUGUCCCUAUUUAAAAAAAAAAAAAAAAAAGACUGCCUAACUUGUGGGAGACAGAGCAAGAUGCCUUCAGGAGGAAUCUCUGGCCGUCUUCUUUGGUAAUAUCCAAAGAGCUUUGGUCAGCGUUGAUAUCAAAGCGGUGUGAAGAAAACAUAAGGCCAUAAGACUAAUCUCUGGAGAGCUGCACACUGAAGGGGAACCUAAGUUCUUGAGUCCCUGGAGUACCCCAAGUGUGGUUUCAGAGAGGGUGCCAUUCAUGAGCAACACUGCUAGCCAUUAGUGGCCAGCAAGAAGGGGAGUGAAAGGAGUAUCUUGUAGAUGGUGACUUGGGUAAUAUGAAAUUGCUGUCAUCAAGGUUUAUCAAAAAACCAAAGGUUAAAUAUUACAUGUAGGCAAUGUGAG
rnacentral:lncRNA from 10 species